rnacentral:rRNA from 1 species
GACGAACGCUGGCGGCGUGCUUAACACAUGCAAGUGGAGCGACGAACCGGGGCUUGCCCCGGGGCAAAGCCGCGAACGGGUGAGUAACACGUGGGUAACCUGCCCAGAUGACAGGGACAACCCGAGGAAACUCGGGCUAAUACCUGAUGUGUCCUUGGUGCAUCAGCACCUUGGGGAAAGGAAGCUUCGGCCUCCGCAUCUGGAUGGGCCCGCGGCCCAUUAGCUUGUUGGUGGGGUAACGGCCUACCAAGGCUCCGAUGGGUAGCUGGUCUGAGAGGACGAUCAGCCACACUGGGACUGAGACACGGCCCAGACUCCUACGGGAGGCAGCAGUGGGGAAUCUUGCGCAAUGCGCGAAAGCGUGACGCAGCAACGCCGCGUGAGGGAAGACGGCCUUCGGGUUGUAAACCUCUUUCAGUUGGGACGAAGGUCCGCUGGUUAAUAGCCGGCCGGACUGACGGUACCUUCACAAGAAGCACCGGCUAACUACGUGCCAGCCGCCGUAACAC